rnacentral:rRNA from 1 species
CCUACGGGUGGCAGCAGUGGGGAAUAUUGCGCAAUGGGCGAAAGCCUGACGCAGCGACGCCGCGUGAGGGAUGAAGGUCUUCGGAUCGUAAACCUCUGUCAGCAGGGAAGAACGGUCACUGUGCUAAUCAGCAGUGAAUUGACGGUACCUGCAAAGGAAGCACCGUCUAACUCCGUGCCAGCAGCCGCGGUAAUACGGAGGGUGCGAGCGUUAAUCGGAAUGACUGGGCGUAAAGCGCUCGUAGGCGGUAUGUCAAGUCAAGGGUGAAAUCCCCGCGCUCAACGUGGGAACUGCCUUUGAAACUGGCAAACGUGAGUGUGUGAGAGGAUAGUGGAAUUCCUGGUGUAGGAGUGAAAUCCGUAGAUAUCUGGAGGAACACCAGUGGCGAAGGCGACUAUCUGGCACAUAACUGACGCUGAGGAGCGAAAGCGUGGGUAGCAAACAGGAUUAGAUACCCCGGUAGUC